AUCAACCACCAUUGCCACCACCUAUCACCACUACCAUCUCCCCCUCUACUCUGCAAACGAAUCUAUAAUAAAAGAGUUCUUUAAAUUCCUAUAAUCUUUUCAAAAUGCUAAGCGGCUAUGAUUUCUAACCUCUCUUCUAUCUCUCGCAGUCUCGCUUCUAGAUCUCGCCACCCUUUUCUUCUUUUACUUCAAAUCUGUCACUCAAAUCAUACUUUUUCAUCCUUUUUUUCCCACUCAAUUUCCCCCAAAACAAAAACCUAAUCUCGAAAUAUAAACAAAAGAUUACCUUUUUUUUGUUAUUAAGCAAACCAUUUGAAAAAUUACACUCAUCUCCGCCCGCGAUUUCGAUCUCUCAACAAACAAGGAUAUCACAGGUAUCGCCGGAUGAUUCCAAUCAAGAAGAGCAAGCUACAGUGAAAAGGAAGUUAGUCUCAGCUUAUAAGCUUAUAAGCUGAAACUAAAUGAUUGUUGAUUUGAUGUGUAUAUGUAUGUAUGUUUGUUAAUUUGUGUAUCCGUUGAUUGUAGAUGCGGUUAUUCUGCGGUGUUGUAUUUGUUGCAUAGGCGGCUUUUAACGGCUGGUGGAGAUGAACCGUCAGGAAAGGAAGAUGGAAGUACCGGAUUUCGGAUGGUUGGAGGUAGUGCUGCGUUGCCACCUGUCAUUUGAGGGAUGUUUUUUUAUCCCUCCGGGUACAUAAUGCAAGAAAUGACAUCCCUCAACGAAAGGACAGCCAGAAGUGCUGCACAUAAAUCAACAAAUAGAAUUGAAAAAGUUGUCAAAAAUUGAGUGAGUUCGAAUCGAAUCAGUGAUGUUGAACUGGUAGUUUAUGUUGAUUUGUAUCUGUUGAUUGUUGAAGCAGUUAAUCUGUUUGUUUUAGAUAUAGUGAGUCGAAUUGAUAUCAGUGAUGUUUGAAAAAUAAUUGCAA